UCAGGAGAAUCAUACUCCCAAAAGACAUCCUGUCUGCUUCUCCUUAGAUGCUGGCAGUGAUACUGGGCCAUCUUCUGUGGCUGAGCUCUGAGGGCACUGGGACCCCGUCCUCUCUGCUGCUGUUCAUGUUUUCUGUGAGUCAUUUAUCUGCAAUCCUCUGUGUAACAGCACACUCAGAAUAUAAUCUGUACUGAAUCUCCUUUGAUGCAAUAUCUAGUAAGACCACAGCUGUAUUUCAUGGAGUAUUUGAAGAAAAAGGACACUGUGACUUCUUCAGAGUGGCCCAGUUUCCUUUGUGGACUGGCUUAUUGGGGUUCCUGCUUUCACUGGACGACCUGAAGCCUCUGGAAAAUUGGGGUUAAAAAAGGAAACCUGAAGUCAGGGGACCCUCCUGAAGUUGAAGCAGAUGCAUCCAACCCUGGAGGUCGGAAGGGCGGUUGUAAGAAAAGGGGGGUGCUUUGCGCUGACAUGGUUGAGAUCCACUGCUCCUAUAGGGAAACAGCUAAGAUGUGUUGGAGGAUGCCCCCUAGUGGGUGCUUCUCAAAUAUCAUCAAGGAGUUUGGAAAUUUAUCAAGUAAUGAAAAACUAAAUAAUCAUGGAAGCAUAAAAAGAGAUAAAGAAAAUAAAAAUUCAUUGUCUAUUCACUAUUUCAAAGGAAUGAAAUACACUAUUUGAAGGAUUUAAUUGUUUCUAUCCCUAAAGAGAGAAGCUAAAUAGAAUGGAACGGGCUGCCUUUAAAAGUACCAUUGCAGGGUGCCUGGGUGGCUCAGAUGGUUAAGCGUCUGCCUUUGGCUCAGGUCAUGAUCCCAAGGUCCUGGGAUCCAGCCCCACAUCGUGCUCCCUGCUCAGCGGGAAGCCUGCUUUUCCCUCUCCCUCUACUGUUCCCCCUGUUUGUGCUC